GGCGCUGUGGCUUAGUUGGUUAAAGUGCCUGUUUAAUAAGCAGGGGAUCUUGAGUUCAAAUCCCAGUAGUGCCU